GAGGGGAUUAUAUCCUGUCUAGGCGUGUAUACCAUCCAGGAGUGCCACAUGGCAGUAAACCUGGCGUGAGUGUUAAGGGAGAACGCGGUUAGUUCCUCCAUCUGUUUUAUGCCGUCUACCCUGUUCCUCUAUUCCGCUAUGGUGGGGAUCCGCGGGGAUCUCCAAUAGAGAGAAAUAAGAGAUUUAGCUGUGUUACGGUUGCCCCAGGCUAGCUGAGAGUUGGACCGUAGAUGGAUG